rnacentral:rRNA from 1 species
UACAGAGGGGCGAAGCGUUGUUUCGGAAUUACUGGGCGUAAAAGGGCGCGUAGGCGGCCUUUCUAAGUCAUGCGUGAAAUCCCCGGGCUAACCCGGGAACUGCGUCUGAUACUGGAAGGCUUGAAUCCGGGAGAGGGAUGUGGAAUUCAGGUGUAGCGGUGAAAUGCGUAGAUAUCUGGAGGAACACCGGUGGCGAAGGCGGCAUCCUGGACC